rnacentral:rRNA from 1 species
ACAGGACUUGAUGCUGGUAGCAGUGAUGCUACAUGUGCUCGGUCUCGUCAAAUCCACUUUACACCUGUGCACUUUCAAAGCUCUGUAGUCCUCCGUAAUGGGAGCCGCGGUUUUAAGUAACUGCUGGGGCUGCACCUUUGCCCAACCUUUACACAAACUCUGUAUAUUGUCUUGUAGAAUGUCUAUUAGCCUUAGUUGGCUUAAUAUUAUACAACUUUCAACAACGGAUCUCUUGGCUCUCGCAUCGAUGAAGAACGCAGCGAAAUGCGAUAAGUAAUGUGAAUUGCAGAAUUCAGUGAAUCAUCGAAUCUUUGAACGCACCUUGCGCUCCUUGGUAUUCCGAGGAGCAUGCCUGUUUGAGUGUCAUUAAAUCAUCAAUCCAACAGCUUUGCGGUUGUUGGCUUGGACUUGGGGACUUGCUGUUGCCCGUCGAGGCRUUGGCUUCCCUUAAAUGCAUUAGCUGGAGAUUUACUUGCAGCAUAUAUGCGGUGUGAUAAUAUCGUCACUGUGUAGCUCUCGUGAAGUCUGGCUUCUAACNGUCCUUUGGUUGGACAAUUUGACAAUCUGACCUCAAAUCAGGUAGGACUACCCGCUGAACUUAAGCAUAUCAAUAA